rnacentral:lncRNA from 1 species
GAUUAUCCACUCUAAAACCAGUGUGUACACUCAAGCCUGGGUAAUGGGCUUAUCUCUCAUGGAACAUCCCAUCCCAACAAACAAAUAACAGAUACAGCAGAUGAAUGCAAGCAGAUAAGUAAAUAAAGUACAAAAGCAUGAACACCCAAUAAGCAAGAAAAACACAAAAGCUAGGAGGGACUCGCUUAGGGAAGAUGGACCUGCAAGAGGUCAACUUCUUUUUGUCC